rnacentral:snRNA from 1 species
GGAUGUGAGGGCAAUCUGGCGGCGACAUCUGUCACCCCUUUGAUGGCCAGGGUUGAUUCAGCUGAUCUGGCUGGCUGGGCGGUUGUCCUCUUCCUCCCUUCCUGCUCCACGUGUGUCCCUCCCGAAGCUGCACAUUGUGUCAAAGAAGACAACCAUCCCUGAUGGUGGAGGAGCGGUCUUUGGUCAAGAGUAUACAAGUAGUUACGCUCCCCUGCUAGAACCUCCAAACAAGCCCUCAAAUUACGGGAUUGUCAGGAACCAUUGUCUUUGGAGAAUAUUUUCUAAUCUUUCCAGAGG